CCCUUAGAUGUUCUGGGCCGCACGCGCGCUACACUGGGCCCUUCAUCGAGUUUACAACCUUGGCCGGUAGGUCUGGGUAAUCUUCUCAAAGGGGCUCGUGCUGGGGAUAGAUUAUUGUAAUUUUUAAUCUUCAACGAGGAAUUCCUAGUAAACGCAAGUCAACAGCUUGCAUUGAUUACGUCCCUGCCCUUUGUACACACCGCCCGUCGCUACUACCGAUUGAAUGGCUUAGUGAGCCCGAGGGACUGUUGCACCUAGAGGGUUUUCUCUCCAGGAGCAGCCGGGAACUCGGUCAAACUUGAUCAUUUAGAGGAAGUAAAAGUCGUAACA
rnacentral:rRNA from 1 species